UUGUUCUAUAUCCAAGUCGGUAAGGCAACGGGUUUUGAUCCCGUGAUGCACUGGUUCGAGUCCAGUUAGAACAAU
rnacentral:tRNA from 1 species